rnacentral:rRNA from 2 species
UUGCUCCCUGAGGUCAGCGGCGGACGGGUGAGUAACACGUGGGCAACCUGCCUGUAAGACUGGGAUAACUCCGGGAAACCGGGGCUAAUACCGGAUAACCCGUUCCACCUCAUGGUGGAGCGGUAAAAGAUGGCCUCUGGCUAUCACUUACAGAUGGGCCCGCGGCGCAUUAGCUAGUUGGUAAGGUAACGGCUUACCAAGGCGACGAUGCGUAGCCGACCUGAGAGGGUGAUCGGCCACACUGGGACUGAGACACGGCCCAGACUCCUACGGGAGGCAGCAGUAGGGAAUCUUCCGCAAUGGACGAAAGUCUGACGGAGCAACGCCGCGUGAGUGAUGAAGGUUUUCGGAUCGUAAAGCUCUGUUGUUAGGGAAGAACAAGUGCCGUUUGAAUAAGGCGGCACCUUGACGGUACCUAACCAGAAAGCCACGGCUAACUACGUGCCAGCAGCCGCGGUAAUACGUAGGUGGCAAGCGUUGUCCGGAAUUAUUGGGCGUAAAGCGCGCGCAGGCGGUCUCUUAAGUCUGAUGUGAAAGCCCACGGCUCAACCGUGGAGGGUCAUUGGAAACUGGGAGACUUGAGUACAGAAGAGGAGAGUGGAAUUCCACGUGUAGCGGUGAAAUGCGUAGAUAUGUGGAGGAACACCAGUGGCGAAGGCGACUCUCUGGUCUGU